rnacentral:lncRNA from 1 species
CCUUCCCCAGGUUGGCUGAGGCUGCCUGGCCCUGGGGACCUCAGAAAGCCCCCCAGCACCUCCACUUCUAUAGUGGGGACCCCGAGUGGCCGAGCCGCUACAGGUGACCAGUUCAAAAAACUGUUCCUCUGGAGAAACUGUUCCGCAUCUUUUAGACACGCCUCAACCCCACACGAGUGGCCGCCAAGAGGGAGACAGACGUGAGAGUGGGAGCCGUCGCCCUG